UACGUAGGUGACAAGCGUUGUCCGGAUUUACUGGGCGUAAAGAGCGUGUAGGCGGCCAUGUAGGUCCGUUGUGAAAACUCGAGGCUCAACCUCGAGACGCCGAUGGAAACCAUGUGGCUAGAGUCCGGAAGAGGAGAGUGGAAUUCCUGGUGUAGCGGUGAAAUGCGCAGAUAUCAGGAAGAACACCGGCGGCGAAGGCGGCACUCUGGGCCGGUACUGACGCUGAGGAGCGAAAGCGUGGGUAGCAAACAGG
rnacentral:rRNA from 1 species